GAAAUAUAUUAAAAUUUAAGCUUCUAACUUAAAAUUACAGCUUUCUAGUUGGUAUUUCU
rnacentral:tRNA from 1 species